rnacentral:rRNA from 1 species
GACGAACGCUGGCGGCGUGCCUAAUACAUGCAAGUAGAACGCUGAAGCUUGGUGCUUGCACCGAGCGGAUGAGUUGCGAACGGGUGAGUAACGCGUAGGUAACCUGCCUGGUAGCGGGGGAUAACUAUUGGAAACGAUAGCUAAUACCGCAUAACAGUAGAUAUCGCAUGAUAGCUACUUGAAAGGUGCAAAUGCACCACUACCAGAUGGACCUGCGUUGUAUUAGCUAGUUGGUGAGGUAACGGCUCACCAAGGCAACGAUACAUAGCCGACCUGAGAAGGUGAUCGGCCAAACUGGGACUGAGACACGGCCCAGAAUCCUUCGGGGGGCAGCAGUAGGGAAUCUUCGGGAAUGGACGGAAGUCUGACCGAGCAACGCCGCGUGAGUGAAGGAGGUUUUCGGAUCGUAAAGCUCUGUUGUAAGAGAAGAACGAGUGUGAGAGUGGAAAGUUCACACUGUGACGGUAUCUUACCAGAAAGGGACGGCUAACUACGUG